rnacentral:rRNA from 1 species
AGGACGAACGCUGGCGGCGUGCUUAACACAUGCAAGUCGAGCGGAAAGGCCCUUCGGGGUACUCGAGCGGCGAACGGGUGAGUAACACGUGAGGAACCUGCCCUGGACUUUGGGAUAACCCUCGGAAACGGGGGCUAAUACCGAAUACGACUACCGGCCGCAUGGUUGGUGGUGGAAAGUUUUUCGGUCUGGGAUGGUCUCGCGGCCUAUCAGCUUGUUGGUGGGGUAAUGGCCUACCAAGGCGACGACGGGUAGCC